GGCUUAACACAUGCAAGUCGAACGGGCACUUCGGUGCUAGUGGCAGACGGGUGAGUAACACGUGGGAACGUACCUUUCGGUUCGGAAUAAUUCAGGGAAACUUGGACUAAUACCGGAUACGCCCUUCGGGGGAAAGAUUUAUCGCCGAUAGAUCGGCCCGCGUCUGAUUAGCUAGUUGGUGAGGUAAUGGCUCACCAAGGCGACGAUCAGUAGCUGGUCUGAGAGGAUGAUCAGCCACAUUGGGACUGAGACACGGCCCAAACUCCUACGGGAGGCAGCAGUGGGGAAUAUUAGACAAUGGGCGCAAGCCUGAUCCAGCCAUGCCGCGUGAGNUAAGGCCUUAGGGUUGUAAAGCUC
rnacentral:rRNA from 1 species